rnacentral:rRNA from 1 species
UAGUACCGAAGUUCCUGAUGUCACACUGCCGAGAAAAGCUUCUAGUGAGAAAACAGCGGCCCGUACCGCAAACCGACACAGGUAGUCGAGGAGAGAAUCCUAAGGUGAGCGAGAGAACUCUCGUUAAGGAACUCGGCAAAAUGACCCCGUAACUUCGGGAGAAGGGGUGCUGAUCAUACGAUCAGCCGCAGUGAAUAGGCCCAAGCGACUGUUUAUCAAAAACACAGGUCUCUGCAAAAUCGUAAGAUGAAGUAUAGGGGCUGACGCCUGCCCGGUGCUGGAAGGUUAAGAGGAGUGCUUAGCGCAAGCGAAGGUACGAAUUGAAGCCCCAGUAAACGGCGGCCGUAACUAUAACGGUCCUAAGGUAGCGAAAUUCCUUGUCGGGUAAGUUCCGACCCGCACGAAAGGCGUAACGAUUUGGGCACUGUCUCAACGAGAGACUCGGUGAAAUUUUAGUACCUGUGAAGAUGCAGGUUACCCGCGACAGGACGGAAAGACCCCAUGGAGCUUUACUGUAGUUUGAUAUUGAGUGUCUGUACCGCAUGUACAGG